UAAUAUGUGGAUGCAUAAGAAAGUUAGAUGAUAUCAAGAAUGUGGGAUAGUUCAAGUUACACUAGUAGUAUUAUCUUCAUUUCCCCUCUCAGGGGCAUAGACUCAAGUAAGAAGAAUUUAAAAUAUUAUAAGAUACUCAAAAGAAAAUACAGAAGAUAAUUAAUGGUGCUUUAUAACGGUUAUAAGAUACUCAAGAAAAUACAGAAGAUAAUUAAUUGUGCUUUAUAACAUGUAAUACCACCUUGCACAUAUCACUGUUUGUGAGCAGUACAUGUCAAGAUUAGCCACUUUCAAUACAACAACAACAACCCAGUAAAAUCCCAGAAGUUGGGUCUGGGAAGGGUAUUAUGUACGCAGAUCUUAAACCUACCCUGAGGGGCUCUCUGCUGUUUACAGGAGACCUCAGCUCAAGAUAUCAACAAGAGACAAUAAGUUAGUGCUAUCAAUAAACUCAUACUAAAAAUAACAUAAAAUACACCAUAUAACAUAAAAUAACAAAAUAGCAGCAAUAUAAGAAAUAC
rnacentral:lncRNA from 1 species